rnacentral:tRNA from 1 species
GGGGCUAUAGCUCAGCUGGGAGAGCGCCUGCCUUGCACGCAGGAGGUCAGCGGUUCGAUCCCUUAGCUCCACCA